GCCGAACCGUGCGAACGUUGUUCGGAAUCACUGGGCUUAAGGGCGCGUAGGCGGGCGUCCAAGUCAGGGGUGAAAUCUUUCGGCCUAACCGGAAAAGUGCCCCUGAUACUGGACAUCUCGAGAGAGGUAGGGGCGUGUGGAACUUCCGGUGGAGCGGUGAAAUGCGUAGAUAUCGGAAGGAACGCCGGUGGCGAAAGCGACGCGCUGGACCUCUUCUGACGCUGAGGCGCGAAAGCCAGGGGAGAAAACGGG
rnacentral:rRNA from 1 species